AACGAACGCUGGCGGCAUGCCUAACACAUGCAAGUCGAACGAGACCUUCGGGUCUAGUGGCGCACGGGUGCGUAACGCGUGGGAACCUGCCCUUAGGUUCGGAAUAACUCCCCGACAGGGGUGCUAAUACCGGAUAAUGUCUUCGGACCAAAGAUUUAUCGCCUUUGUAUGGGCCCGCGUUGGAUUAGCUAGUUGGGAGGGUAAAAGCCUACCAAGGCGACGAUCCAUAGCUGGUCUGAGAGGAUGAUCAGCCACACUGGGACGGAGACACGGCCCAGACUCCUACGGGAGGCAGCAGUGGGGAAUAUUGGAAAAUGGGCGAAAGCCUGAUCCCGCAAUGCCGCGUGAGUGAUGAAGGCCUUAGGGUUGUACAGCUCUUUUACCCGGGAUGAUAAUGACAGUACCGGGAGAAUAAGCACCGGCUAACUCCGUG
rnacentral:rRNA from 1 species